AUGAACGCUGGCGGCGUGCCUUAAGCAUGCAAGUCGAACGGAAAAGUUAAUCUCGCAAGAGAGUGAUAGAUCAGUGGCGGACGGGUGAGUAGAAGCAGGGAACGUACCCUUUACUGUGGGACAGCUCGUCGAAAGACGGGGUAAUACCGCAUGAGGUCGCAAGAUCAAAGACCGCAAGGUCGGUGGAGGAGCGGCCCUGCACUUAUCAGCUAGUUGGUGGGGUAAAGGCCUACCAAGGCGACGACGAGUAGGGGGUGUGAGAGCAUGACCCCCCACAAUGGCAAUGAGACACGGGCCAUACAUCUACGGAUGGCAGCAACUGGGAAUAUUCGGCAAUGGACGAAAGUCUGACCGAGCGACGCCGCGUGAGGGAUGAAGUAUUUCGGUAUGUAAACCUCUUUUGCCAUGAUCGACAGGCUAUGGCGAAUAAGCACCUACAAACUACGU
rnacentral:rRNA from 1 species